AUGAGUGCUCGAUUGUGCGUCUCUGUUAGACAAUACUACUGUUAUAGAUUACAAACACGCCCUGCGAUAUUCAACCCAAUAUUACACGGCAAGCGCCUAUUUCAGCAGUUUGCAGUCGACAUGUAUAUCAAGGUCGAGGGCACUAGACUAGACUGGGUUAGGAAUCACCAGAAAGAGAUGCGUGCUGACUUGUAUAAAGGUAUUGUCGAUAGCAUCAUUGCUGGGGAGAGCCGUGCGGAUGCUGUUGGCAAAAGGACAAUACUCCCAGGAACAUUUCAAGGGGGUGGUAGAGAUAUGAAACAGAGGCAAAUGGAUGCAAUGGCCCUUGUGCAAAAGUACGGCAAGCCAGACAUCUUUCUAACAAUGGCUUGCAACCCCAACUGGGAUGAGAUAGUACAGGAGCUUUUGCCUGGUCAAACCCCACAGGACCGCCCCGAUCUUAUUGUGCGGGUGUUUAGAGCCAAGCUAGAGGACCUAAAGAAGCAACUAUUCAAAAAUCACAUCCUUGGAAAGGUGAUUGCGUAUGUCUACGUAGUUGAAUUUCAAAAGAGAGGCCUGCCGCAUGCUCACUUUCUAUUAAUCAUGGAGUCCAGAUGCAAGCUCACGGAUCCGGAGCAGUACGACCGCCUCAUCUCAGCCGAGCUACCAGACAAGCAUAAGUACCCUGAGUUAUACGCCAUGGUCGUUAAGCAUAUGAUGCAUGGCCCCUGUGGUGUCCUGAACCCCAAGAACGUGUGCAUGCAGAGUGGUUCUUGCAAAAACCGAUACCCACGCCCAUUCAACUCGAGCACUAUCCAAGGAAAGGACUCAUACCCCGUUUAUCGGAGACGAGAUGAUGGUCGUCGCACCCAGGUCCGACGAAGAACUCUUGACAACAGGUGGGUUGUGCCAUAUAACCCUUACCUCCUAUGA
rnacentral:rRNA from 1 species